ACCACUCUAGCUUUUAACAAACACUGGUAGAGGUGGUAACGAGACCUAAGAAACUACAAAAAGCAAUCCAGGAUGAUUGAUCAUGGAGACAGCAGAGUCAAGAAAGGAAUUCUAGACCAGCUCUCCGGCCUGCUUGGCUUCAGGUCUGUGACCUCAUUCUGGCUUAAUAAGCGACCUUUGGCACAUAACCCCAGCCGCUCUCAGGUUCGACUUCCUCUCCCUAAAAUGGUUCACCGUGAAGAUCCAAGAAAAUAAGGAACAGCAAUCCAUGGCGUCUCUUCUAGAGUCUCGGUGCUUCCCAGAUUGGAGAGCUGAGUGCUUGGCUGUAACCCAGGGCUGGAGAUAUUGGAGUCGCCCAUCUGAUUCUGAAAUUAAAAGGAAAAGUAUAUCAUGUGAA